UUUUGUUUUUUUAGUUUAUGCAGUUCCAGUUUCUUACAGAAAUACUAAGUACUUAAAUAGCAUCAUCAUAUUGGUAUGAUUAAGCUCACAAGUGGGUUAUUUUGUGGGAAUACUAACAAUGGUCCAAACCAGUUUAUCAAAUCAUAGUCUAAUACUCAGCUGUAGUGGUUCUGGGUCACUGAAGCUUAAAAAAGUAGAAGUUAUCCUUGUGAGUUUAAUGUUAGUGGCUCUUGGUGUCCAGCGGUGGCAACCUUUCUGAACUGAUGUCAUGACAAGAAACUUGUAACUUCAUGUUUGAACAUGCCCUGUGGAGUAUGUCUUAGCAUUUCAGUCCACUACCAAGACACCUGUACAAGUUCCUGCAGAGACACUGAAGAUCAAAAUGUAUACUGAAAGGAGAUUGGAGCAGGAGGCAGCUUUCUCCCAUGAGGUCAGCUUGGGAAAUAAUAUUGGGUUGCUAAAGAAGGGGAAAGUGAAGGAGAAAGCACCAUAAGAGUAUGCAGUUGUAACAGAUUGUCCAACAUGCAGUCGUAAUGUACUCUACAAAGGACUUUCUCUUCGACCAAAGCAAACUCCUCUCCAGUAGAAAGCUGUCUUUUGCAGGAGAAGCACGCGA